GCCCUCGUAGCCCAAUUGGGAGAGGCGCCAGCCCGAGAUGCUGGUCAUGUGCGCGUUCGAGUCGCGCCGAGGGCAC
rnacentral:tRNA from 1 species